AUGCAAGUGUUAUCCGGAAUCACUGGGCGUACAGCGUCUGUCGGUGGUUUAAUAAGUCAACUGUUAAAUCUUGAGGCUCAACCUCAAAAUCGCAGUCGAAACUAUUAGGCUAGAGUAUAGUAGGGGUAAAGGGAAUUUCCAGUGGAGCGGUGAAAUGCGUAGAGAUUGGAAAGAACACCGAUGGCGAAGGCACUUUACUGGGCUAUUACUAACACUCAGAGACGAAAGCUAGGGUAGCAAAUGGG
rnacentral:rRNA from 1 species